rnacentral:rRNA from 1 species
UACGGGGGGGGCAAGCGUUGUUCGGAAUUACUGGGCGUAAAGGGUUUGUAGGUGGCCGGCUAAGUCAGACGUGAAAUCCCUCAGCUUAACUGGGGAACUGCGUCUGAAACUGAUCGGCUCGAGUGCAGGAGAGGAACGCGGAAUUCCAGGUGUAGCGGUGAAAUGCGUAGAUAUCUGGAGGAACACCGGUGGCGAAGGCGGCGUUCUGGACUGCAACUGACGCUGUAAAACGAAAGCCAGGGGAGCAAACGGG